GAUGAACGCUGGCGGCGUGCCUAAUACAUGCAAGUCGAGCGAACGGACGAGAAGCUUGCUUCUCUGAUGUUAGCGGCGGACGGGUGAGUAACACGUGGAUAACCUACCUAUAAGACUGGGAUAACUUCGGGAAACCGGAGCUAAUACCGGAUAAUAUUUUGAACCGCAUGGUUCAAAAGUGAAAGACGGUCUUGCUGUCACUUAUAGAUGGAUCCGCGCUGCAUUAGCUAGUUGGUAAGGUAACGGCUUACCAAGGCAACGAUGCAUAGCCGACCUGAGAGGGUGAUCGGCCACACUGGAACUGAGACACGGUCCAGACUCCUACGGGAGGCAGCAAUAGGGAAUCUUCCGCAAUGGGCGAAAGCCUGACGGAGCAACGCCGCGUGAGUGAUGAAGGUCUGCGGAUCGUAAAACUCUGUUAUUAGGGAAGAACAUAUGUGUAAGUAACUGUGCACAUCUUGACGGUACCUAAUCAGAAAGCCACGGCUAACUAC
rnacentral:rRNA from 1 species